AAUCCGAGGAACACUGAAACACCUGUGCAUCUGGGGAAUGUCAUGCUUAGAAGACACCCUGAAAUAAAGAAAGCAUUGGAGGGAGGACAGCACACACAGG